rnacentral:scRNA from 1 species
ACGUCGUCAUUGAUGGGGAUUUUCUCGUCAUC